rnacentral:miRNA from 1 species
UCACAGAGGGAGAGAGAGAGAGAGAGAGAGCGACAUGGACAUGGAUUACGUGCUUAGGAUAUGCUUGUUACUCGCUCUCUACUCCCUCUCUCUAUCUCUCUCCUUCUCUCUCU